rnacentral:rRNA from 1 species
GUUGGGCCUGCUCGGUGAGAAGAAAAUUUAACAGCUGCGGUAUUAUAACUGUACUAAGGUAGCAUAAUAAUUUGCCUUAUAAAUUAAGGCUAGAAUGAAUGGUUUGACGAAAAUUAGACUGUCUUUAUUUUAUUUGUUAGAAAUUAAUUUUUAUAGUGAAAAAGCUUGAAUAAUUUAAGGGGACGAGAAGACCCUAUUGAGCUUUAUUUAUUAAUAUUUAAAUAUAAAUAUAUAAUUUAUAUUAUGAAAAUUAUGUUGUAUAUAUAUAUAUAUAUUUAAUUGGAUUUAAUUUUGAUUGGGGUGAUCAAGGAAUAAAGAUAAAGUAACUUCCUUAAAAUUAAUGAUUGUUUUUAUAGAGUAAUAAACCAAGUUUUUUGCUUAUAAGAUAAGUUACCAUAGGGGUAACAGCGUAAUUUUUUUUGAGAGUUCAUAUUGAAAAAAGAGAUUGCGACCUCGAUGUUGGAUUAAAAAUUACCUUAAGG